rnacentral:rRNA from 1 species
AUGGAGGACACCGUCCCCAAGUUCAGUGCCUCUGCUCCAGCUGUUGUCCAGUACGUGUUCUUGUUUUUCCUGACACUGUUCUUUCUUCUAGUGUUUACCCUACACAUGUUAGAAUCUACCUCAUAUAUGCAUCUUGAUCUACUGUCUGCUCGAGAGAUGAUCCUUUCUAGCUCAUAUAUGCAAAUGUUAUUUACCUUCACUUUGUCAAAUACCAUGACUUGUUUUAUCACUGCUAUACUAGUCAUAUUUUAUCUAGUAUUUUUUUUAAUAAAAUCAUUUGGUAAAUUGCUCAUAUUUCCAACAUGUACUUCUAUUGUGACGUGCACGUGUUUUGCAAGUAGUGACAAUAUGUAUGAAUUUGCGACUUGUGUGUGA